rnacentral:pre_miRNA from 1 species
AGCCCUCCGUAUCCGUGCUGAGGUUUCGUCACACACCAGACCACAAGGGCUGAUGAGACGUUCAAGAUAAGUGAGGUG